rnacentral:rRNA from 1 species
GACGAACGCUGGCGGCGUGCUUAACACAUGCAAGUCGAACGAAGUGGCGAACGGGUGAGUAACGCGUAAUCAACCUGCCCUUCAGAGGGGGACAACAGUUGGAAACGACUGCUAAUACCGCAUACUGAAGGAGGGGAUUGCGUUGGAUUAGCUAGUUGGAGGGGUAACGGCCCACCAAGGCGAGGAUCAGUAGCGGGUCGGAGAGGAUGACCGGCCAAAUGGGAACUGGGACACGGCCCAGACUCCUACGGGAGGCAGCAGUGGGGAAUAUUCCACAAGGGGCGAAAGCCUGCUGGAGCAAGGCCGGGGGGGUGAUGAAGGCCUUGGGGUGGUAAAGUACGUUAAGUCGGGAGCGGUACCGGAAGAGAAAGCCACGGCUAACUACGUGCCAGCCGCCGCGGUAAUUC